CAGGAGACCUUACAGCAGUUAGUCCUCAUGCCCCUUCCCAACAUCCUCUCCAUCGCCAAGGAUCCAAUAUCAGUUAAGAGCAUGGAGGAGCUGAAAAGUCUUCUGUUGCUGGUACUAGGCUGUGCUGUCCAGUGUGAGCGUAAGGAGGAGAUGAUAGAGAAGAUCAAGCUGCUGGACUUUGACACUCAGGCUGCGAUUGUCUUUCACAUCCAAGAGGU